ACUGAGGUCCUUGUUACUUGCAAUUAUUCUGGUAAUACUUAAGUUGAAAUUUAGCAAAACUUCUACAUAGUAGUAUAAUUGACGAAAAGUAUUGAUGUUAUCAAAGUGAUAUGAUGUUUACUCAAUUUAAUUUAUUUAUUGUUCAAUUUGAUUAAAAUGAGCUUUGUGGUGUGGUGUGGUGUGAUGAUUGAGUUUGACGAUUGUAGGAUGUUGCAGCACUUUUCGUGGAGCCUUAUAAAAGCCAAACAAUUAUUGUUAAUGUUUUUUAGAUUAAAAAAAAACAAAGGUGCUAGAUUUGAACUGCUCUAUCUUGAAUUAUUAGUUACGAAUAUUUUUUUAAGGUCAACUUGUAUUGCCUUGUAAUAGGAAUUUCACUAAUGAAUUUUCUUUUUUUUUUUCCAAGGGUCUCAGAAACUAGCAUUUAUAGAAAGAGAGAAGGAAUAUCGAUUUUUGGCUAGGCAAUCUAAGAGAGCUGUUGAGUUCUCAUGGAGUAUAUUUAAUUUUCAGAAGGACCAAGAUGUUAGACUUAGACUUGGCUAUGAAGUCUUUGAACAGGCCAUACCCAAUAGAGUCAAUUAUAAGGAUAAAGGGGACAAGUGGACUCUUGAUGAUUUCAGUUUGCAGUGCUUUCCAUGCUGGACUAGCAGUGGCAUGAGUAGAACGGUGGUAGAAGAAAACCUAGUAGUGAAGUUGAAAAAAUCAACGACUCAAGUGCUUGAAUUUGCACAACAAAGUAAAGAGUUUGGGAUUAAUCCUUGUUGAAUAAAGUUAUUAGAGACAGAGCCAAGUAAAGAGGAACAUGGUGGGAAGGUCUAUAUCAAUACUCAUUGUUCAAGACACAAGACACCAAAAAUGAAAAAAUAGAAGCAAACCAAAAAUAAAGGUGUGAGAAAAAUGGAAUAAUUAAUUAUGCCCUUCUUGUAUUGUUCAGUCGUUAGUUUUGUAUUUAGCUCUUUUUAAGUCAGAACAAGUAUUGUGUUUAAAGGCUUCUUAUUAAAUUAGCUUAUCAUAUUUUGAUAUAUGAAUUAGAAAUCUUUA